ACUUUUGCAGAUCUAUGUGUCACGGACACUUCUGUAAGCCUAGCAUAUUCAUGUCGGACACAUGUCUGAUGUGGACACUCAUUGAACGCCCAUUUAAUACCGAUCCAUAACGCAUACAACUAAUAUACAUAUAAUAUAUAUGAGUCCAGCUACUAUACUCUUAUGAAUAUGAUCGCCCUCGUACUCAUAAGUUAUUUUCGAUGAUAGGGCUUUCGAAUCGACAAUCCAUACCGUUAAAUAUUAUCUAGAGCAUUUAAAACUUCUAGAAAUUAAAUUUCAUAAUUUUCGAUAUCAUUUACCUUACGAUCAAAAGCUCACAAAAUUGAUAAUUUUUAACGGCCGGUAUGGGAUAGUUGUUAGUUUAAAGGUGUAAAAGAAUUGGAAUAGGUUGAAGUUUUGAUAGAAAAUUCUAUUCACUACCUAGAUAAAGAUUAAUAACUCCGAUCUUAAAUUGAAGAAUCUGAUCAUCCAUUUUUAAGACGUCGUUCGAUUUUGACCGUUUAUUUUAUGUCCGUUUGAUGGACUUUAUUAUAAUUUUGAAAAAUUACGAAAUUUAUUUUUUAGAAGUUUCAAAUACUCUAGAUCAUAUUUAAUGGAAUGGAUUGUCGAUUUGGAAGCCCUAUAAUCGAAAACAACUUAUGAGAACGAAGGGCCCAAUACUCAUAAGAGUAUAGUAGCCCUACUCAU
rnacentral:lncRNA from 1 species